rnacentral:rRNA from 1 species
GAUCAAGUGUCUUAAGGGCAAUUGGUGGAUGCCUUGGCAUGCACAGGCGAUGAAGGACGUGAUACGCUGCGAUAAGCUACGGGGAGGUGCGAAUACCCUUUGAUCCGUAGAUCUCCGAAUGGGGAAACCCACCUAAGGUACUUGGAAAAUCAGAGCAGCAGGGCAACUGACGCGACAAUCCCAAAAGGAUUGAGCGUGGGGCGACGAUCUCUUUGGGAUCGCGCUGUUUUUGCUGCUGUGGUUUCCAAGUAUCGAUAAUAGGUAACUUAUCCUGAAUACAUAGGGAUAAAGUGGCGAACGCGGGGAACUGAAACAUCUAAGUACCCGUAGGAAAGGACAUCAACCGAGACUCCGGAAGUAGUGGCGAGCGAACCCGGACCAGGCCAGCGGCGAUUGAGAGACAAGCGGAACCUUCUGGAAAGUUGGGCCAUAGCGGGUGACAGCCCCGUACGCGUAAUGCGAUCAAUCGUCCUUGAGUAAGGCGGGACACGUGAAAUCCUGUCUGAAAUUGGGAGGACCACCUUCCAAGCCUAAGUACUCGUGCAUGACCGAUAGCGAACUAGUACCGUGAGGGAAAGGUGAAAAGCACCCCGACAAGGGGAGUGAAAGAGUACCUGAAACCGAUUGCCUACAAACAGUGGGAGCCCGUCCUUCAAAUCGCUUGACGAUUUGAAGAACUUUUGAUUUUGCCAUCAAGAGCGCAAGCGCUUUGAUGGGCGGGUGACCACGUACCUUUUGUAUAAUGGGUCAGCGACUUAGUGUGACGAGCAAGCUUAAACCGAUAGGUGUAGGCGCAGCGAAAGCGAGUCUGAACAGGGCGUUCAGUUCGUCGCAUUAGACCCGAAACCGAGUGAUCUAGCCAUGAGCAGGCUGAAGGUAAGGUAACACUUACUGGAGGGCCGAACCCAUAACUGUUGCAAUAGUUCGGGAUGACUUGUGGCUAGGGGUGAAAGGCCAAUCAAACUCGGAAAUAGCUGGUUCUCCGCGAAAUCUAUUUAGGUAGAGCGUCGACCGAAUACCCCAGGGGGUAGAGCACUGGAUGGGCUAGGGGUCCUCACCGGAUUACCAAACCUAACCAAACUCCGAAUACCUGGGAGUACUAGUCGGCAGACACACGGCGGGUGCUAACGUCCGUCGUGAAAAGGGAAACAACCCUGACCUACAGCUAAGGUCCCCAAGUUAUGGCUAAGUGGGAAAGGAUGUGAGGAUCCCAAAACAACCAGGAUGUUGGCUUAGAAGCAGCCAUCAUUUAAAGAAAGCGUAACAGCUCACUGGUCUAAAUAAGGGUCUUUGCGCCGAAAAUGUAACGGGGCUAAAGCCAUACACCGAAGCUUAGGGUUCGUGAGCAAUCACGAGCGGUAGCGGAGCGUUCUGUAAGCCAGUGAAGCCGUACCCGUGAGGGGCGGUGGAGGUAUCAGAAGUGCGAAUGCUGACAUGAGUAACGUAAGGGGAGUGAGAGACUCCCCCGCCGAAAGACCAAGGGUUCCUGCUUAAAGUUAAUCUGAGCAGGGUUAGCCGGCCCCUAAGACGAGGCGGAAACGCGUAGUCGAUGGGAAUCACGUUAAUAUUCGUGAGCCUGGAGGUAGUGACGGAUCACACAAGUUGUCCAAUCUUAUCGGAUUGAAAGGGCAGCGGAGUGGUUCCAGGAAAUAGCUCCUCCUUAUAGACCGUACCCGAAACCGACACUGGUGGUCUGGUAGAGUAUACCAAGGCGCUUGAGAGAACUAUGCUGAAGGAACUCGGCAAAUUGCACGCGUAACUUCGGAAGAAGCGUGACCCUUUUUUGCGCAAGCAGAGGAGGGUGGCACAGACCAGGGGGUAGCGACUGUUUAUCAAAAACACAGGGCUCUGCGAAGUCGCAAGACGACGUAUAGGGUCUGACGCCUGCCCGGUGCUGGAAGGUUAAGAGGAGGGGUGCAAGCUCUGAAUCGAAGCCCCAGUAAACGGCGGCCGUAACUAUAACGGUCCUAAGGUAGCGAAAUUCCUUGUCGGGU